CGUACUGGCAUUGUUGGUUUCUCCCUUCUGACGAACCAUGAUGUCAUUUAUUUGGUGUUGUGGGGAAUCAGGACUGUUACUUUGAAAAAAUUAGAGUGUUUAAAGCAGGCUCACGCUUGAAUACAUUAGCAUGGAAUAAUGAAAUAGGACGUUUGAUUCUAUUUUGUUGGUUUCUAGGAUCGACGUAAUGAUUAAUAGGGAUAGUUGGGGGCAUUAGUAUUCAAUUGUCAGAGGUGAAAUUCUUGGAUUUAUUGAAGACUAACUACUGCGAAAGCAUUUGCCAAGGAUGUUUUCAUUAAUCAAGAACGAAAGUUAGGGGAUCGAAGACGAUCAGAUACCGUCGUAGUCUUAACCAUAAACUAUGCCGACUAGGGAUCAGAUGAUGUUAAUUUUUUAAUGACUCAUUCGGCGCUUACG
rnacentral:rRNA from 1 species